rnacentral:rRNA from 1 species
UACGAAGGGGGCUAGCGUUGCUCGGAAUCACUGGGCGUAAAGCGCACGUAGGCGGCUUCUUAAGUCAGGGGUGAAAUCCUGGAGCUCAACUCCAGAACUGCCUUUGAUACUGAGGAGCUUGAGUCCGGGAGAGGUGAGUGGAACUGCGAGUGUAGAGGUGAAAUUCGUAGAUAUUGGGAAGAACACCGGUGGCGAAGGCGGCUCACUGGCCCGUAACUGACGCUCAUGCACGACAGCGUGGGGAUCAAACAGG